CAACCCUUUCGGGUUUCCAAAAAUUUCUACUCUGUUCUCAUAAAUGUUCCUGUGCACGGAAAUCUUUAGUAAAAGGCGAAAGAUUUAUGCGGCAUGCACAGGAACCAGAGAUA